CGCGGCCUAUCAGCUUGUUGGUAGUGUAAAGGACUACCAAGGCAAUGACGGGUAUCUGGUGUGAGAGCAUGACCAGACACAAUGGAACUGAGACACGGUCCAUACUCCUACGGGAGGCAGCAGUGAGGAAUCUUCCGCAAUGGGCGAAAGCCUGACGGAGCGACACCGCGUGGAGGACGAAGGCCUUUUGGUUGUAAACUCCUUUUCUGAGGGAAUAAAUGAUGAAGGUACCUCAGGAAUAAGCACCGGCUAACUACGUGCCAGCAGCCGCGGUAAUACGUAGGGUGCAAGCGUUAUCCGGAAUCAUUGGGCGUAAAGCGUUCGUAGGUCGUAAAGUAUGUUUGUGGUUAAAUCUGGUCGCUCAACGAUCAAUUUGUCACGAAAACUGCUUCACUAGAGAUUGGCAGGGGCAACUGGAAUUCCACAUGUAGGGGUAAAAUCCGUUGAUAUGUGGAGGAACACCAAAAGCGAAGGCAGGUUGCUGGGCCAUUUCUGACACUGAGGAACGAAAGCGUGGGGAGCAAACAGGAUUAGAUACCCUGGUAGUCCACGCCGUAAACGAUGGAUACUCGAUGUAGGGAGGAAUCGACCCCUCUCUGUGUCCAAGCUAACGCGUUAAGUACCCCGCCUGGGGAGUACGG
rnacentral:rRNA from 1 species